ensembl:lncRNA
CAGGGCCUUGCUGGACAGGCAGCCCUGGCGUCUUCCGAUGGCCUGCCCAGUGUACGGCUCCACAGGGGCGGUGCCUCCUGAGGUCCACGGAGCCGGCCUCACGGAGCAGCUCUGCUCCACGAGGCCCAUGGGAGGUCUGGCCGGUGCCUCUCCUCGCUCUGCCUCCACGGCCCUCCCCAGGCCCUGCCUCAUUGUCUUUUGCGAGGACACCCACUCAGCGGCCUCCUCACCAGUUGCCCUGCCUGCAGCCUCACUUCCCCUCCACCCCUGUCACAAUCCACUUCUCACGCCACUGUGACACCACCUCUCCUGCUCCAAAACCAUCAAUGGCUCCGCACCCCGAACCUGACACACCCCCCGAGGGCGUGGGUUUCAGUGGCUGCUCUCCUCCUCCGGCUGCUGCCUCCCCCGGCCUUCCCCAGGGCCAGUGCUGAGCCCCGGGCACCCAGCUCGCCCGUCCACACCUGCAGCUCUUCCUCUGCUCUCUGCAAAGCAGAAGCCCCCAGAAACCUCUUUGCCUGAAGCUGAUUUGGCUCAUGAAUCUAGAGUCCUGCAUAUUCCUGCUGGAGACCUAGGGGUCCCUCUGGCCUCGGGUACCGGAUGUCCUCAAAGGCAGAAGAGCGAGGCUUUCUAAGAUCAAACAAGGCCCUGCUACAGUUUCAAGGGGAUAUCGAUCUGUCACAGACACACAGGCCGGCGGCCAGCAGCAUGCGCCCCCGCGGAGGGAGAUGAAAGACCUGCCUGGUUAGACGUCUUGUGUUCUGACUCAUCUCUUUUGACCCUGUAAAGAGGGUCCGGUGACUUUAAGGGGGGCUGUUGCCAAACCCUGUUUCUAGAACACCACGGGGAAAUUGUGGGGUUUGCCACUGUUCACCGGAGGGGCCAAGUCGGGGUGGACACUGGCCACCUGAUGGCCAGCUUGGAAGGAGAGGGGCUCGGCAGGUCAGCACCAUGGACAGCACCACGAGAAGGCGGGGCCCACAGCCUCAGAUGCGGGAAGCAGGGAGGGGUGGGCCAGGUGCUCGUAGGUGUAGAGAUGCCAGGCAGUCAGCUUCCUGUCGGAUGACCACUGGGAGGGACAGAGCAUCCUGCACCCCAUGAAGGGCUCCCUGUGUGGUUAUGCUGGUCCUGGGGGCCACUGUGCAGGGUAAGGGAGGCUGGCAGGUGGGGCACCCCGGCUCAGCGUCCUGAAUGGGCAGCGUCUGUAUGAACAGAAGCAGAGAAGGAGAGCCCCCUUGGCCAGGACACGUGCUGUAGGUCAGGGAGGAGCCCGUGGGACUCCUUGGAGGGGACGUUUUUGGCCCUGCACUGCACGCCCUUGGCCAGUGCACGCCCAUGCCUCUGCUGUGUCUCAGCUGUUCUCCCUGGCUGUCCUGGAAGCCACAGGACCCUCAGCCUGCACAGGGUUGGCCAGAGGAUGGGUGUGUCCACGUUCUGGAGCAGAGCCCUAUCUGUGGGGACAGGAGUGGGCAAACAGAUGUCCAGCCUCUCCUUUCCAGGGCAGCACUUCUGAGAUGUGCUCAGCUCCCAAGUUAUGGCCUCCAAGCCCCUGAGUCUUGUGCAUCUGGAGUGAUCCCUCCCCUGAACUCGGCCAGCCCCUUCCUCAUGACAUGGAUGAGGGUCAGACCCACCCAAGUUGACAGUCUAGGUGUGAAUGCACCAGCUGGGCAAUCUGGGCCUACCCUUGGCCUCUCUGAGCCUCACUUGCUGCAUCCAUGAAGUAGGGGAGUAGCACCUCAUUUCCUUGGCUUUGCUGAAGGGUAAACGAAGUAAAUAUGGAUAAAAACGAGACUUUGCACAUAAGGUUCUGAGCGUGGGGCUGGGCACAGGCUGACUACACACUGUGUUGGUUCAGCCCUGGCUGUGGGCCCCUCUCGGGCCAAGGGGCUGACGCCCAGGCUCUCCUUGACAUCUCCCAACAACCCCACCAUAGAUAACAUCCUCCACCACUUCCUGGCUGUGUGACCUGGGGCACGGUGUAGUCUCUGAACCUCGGUUUCCUCAUCUGUGAUGGGAGCACUCACCCCCCAGAGCGAGAUUGCACCUGCGAACAUAGCUCGUUUGCCACCCACCUUCAAAGUCUGCGAGAGCGGCUAGUUGGAGGUUGUGGUCUGAGGAGGGAACCGGCCAGGGCGGGUGUGGUCCCGGGGAGUGCCUUUUCCUCCUCCUGCUGGCUGCGGGGCCUGCUGCCCUUGCGGCCUGGUCAGUGCGGAAGGGAGGCAGCCUGCUUGGGCAGGGCUGCUGUGGAUGGACUGGUCUCAGAGGGCCACUGCUAGAUGGACGGCUCGGCCAUGUGGAGCACUGAGUGGGACCCCCGGGAAGGAGGAGAGAAAUAUGGCCUUUCCUCCUGCAGACAGCGUGGCUGUGGCAGCGAGUGUCGGACGCUCAGGCCGGUUAUGUUCCCUCGUAAAACAGGGCUGUCAUUCUCUCCCCACCCCCGGCAGAGCCCCGGGACCACGUGCCCUCUGCGUCACCUCUGGAGGGGCAAUUCCUCCUUGGAGCUCCUUGGAGGACGCACGACCUGGAGGCUGAGGGCUCCAGCUGAGGGAGACUGGGUGACUUCCCGGGGGCGGCAGGGUCAGCAGGCCAUGAGGGGGAUGGUCUGGGGCUGGGGAGGCCAUGGGAAUUGUCUGGAAUGUCGAUUUGAGUGGGUGAAGGAGGGUACAGAGGGCCUGGGAGAUGUGGCCUGCUCGGUGCGGCCAGGGCUGGACAGACCUGGGAGGGGACAGCAAACUCUGCUCCUGGCUGCAUGGCCUCGAGCUGAUCCCCUCCCUGGAAAGGGGCCAGGUCCUCCCCACCUUGCUCAAGUGGGGCCACCUUUUGUGGGGUCCGACGGUGCAGUUUGGUGCCCAGGCCAGGGUUCUGGGGCACACCACCCUGUGCCAGAUCAGGGCUGCAGGAUCCCCCCGACACUGGGAGGCCCCUGGGUGCCGUGUGGUCGCAGGGGCAUCUGGGUGUAGCUGGAUUCGUAGGUCUCUGGUGUCUCUGCUGCUGUUCUGACACUUAGGUCCCUGUGUCUCUCCAAGAAAGGAGGCUGCAGGCGGCAUUUCCUAAGAUCUUUUGGGCCUAGAAUCUUCUUCAGUAGCAUCUCCUGGGGGUUUGCGUUCCCGAGGCGGGAGUUUGGGGACUGCUGCCUUGGGAAGGUGGCGCUCUUCCUCCAUCGUUUCGUGAGGCAGCAGCUCAGAGGGGCUGACGAGCCUCAAAGUCUCGCCUUCCCAGCCCUGCACUGAAGCCCACGUCGCCGCCACCUUGGCGCCAGGAGACCCUUGGAAAGAAACAGUGAGGUGUGGGCUGGGACAGCGAGGCCGCCAUUCCGGGCUGAGCCACCGGUCAUGCCCAGAGCAAAGGCCAGGAGGAGGGACGGCUUCCAGGGACUGGCAUCCCUGAGAGACAGGAGGUCCCCAGGUGGGGUGGGGCAGCCUGGAGCCUGCUGCGCAGAGGCAGAGUGUGGUGGGGAGGUGACCAGGUGUCCGGGGAGAAGAUUCUGCCCAGGAUCCAGGUGCUGACCUGGGCCUGAUGGCUGGGUCAGGGGCCCCAGAAGGGGUGGGGUUUGCCUGAGGAAGUGGGGAGGCCCAUUGGGUUCCCCCAAUACCUUGGAGUGGCCCCUCUUAGCCCAUUCUUACAGAAGAGGUGGCUGGGGCUCAGAGAGGCUGCACAAUUCCCCAGGGUCACGCAGCCGAGGGCAGGGCCAGACCUCAGACCUCAGCCCAGCUCCGUGGAAAGGCGCAGCCCCACAGGGCCUGACCCUCAGCUUCCACUCUCACUGGCCACCUUCUGAGAUUCCCCGUAAUUCUCCCCUUGCUCAGACAGGCUCUUCCAGUCCGUCCUGUCUGUGUGUUUAUAGUGGGGAGCGAAACCUCUUCAAGGUAGAGGAGUGGUCAUGUCCCUCGAGGGGGUUAGUACUGGGGGCUGGGCCAUCCUGAGGCUCCUCCUAUCACGGCUUGGCGCUGACCCUUGGCCGGACAUGAGCCUUCUCGUAUAUAAAGGGGGCCUGGGUUCAGUGGGUGAAGGAGUCAUUGGAGUUGUGGAGGGAGAAAUGACUAGGGGUCCUGGGGGAGGCCCCGAGCCCACAGAGGUGCUCCUGGUCCCUCUGCAGUGCAUCUUUAUUUCCUCUGGGUUUGGGUGGC